rnacentral:misc_RNA from 1 species
CGUAAAGGUGCAUGAGUGGUGUUUGGUUUGUUACGGGUGGUUGGCUCUUUGCUGUCGCAACAACUUCCUCCCGGCUUACCUCUUCAAUCAUAUGUCAAUGCUUCAAAUGUGUUGACGCAUGGUGGGUUUCUUGUGUUGCAUCCCUAACCGAUGGCAUCGUUUGAAGAACUUUUGUUCUUUUUCGUCUUGUGUUGCUCAUGUGAUUUAAGAUGAACCUUGAAGCGUGCUUUGUGCUCCACUCUUUCGAUGUAUACACAUUGAAAAUGUGGCUCAUAAAGUGUCGUUUGGUUUCAUGGAUAUAGUACCGAUGUGGGCAUGAGAAUGUUAGUAGCAUCUAAUUUGCCCUAUUCAAGCUUUUAUAACACGAUUGUCU